rnacentral:rRNA from 1 species
GAUGAACGCUGGCGGCGUGCCUAAUACAUGCAAGUCGAGCGAACGGACGAGAAGCUUGCUUCUCUGAUGUUAGCGGCGGACGGGUGAGUAACACGUGGAUAACCUACCUAUAAGACUGGGAUAACUUCGGGAAACCGGAGCUAAUACCGGAUAAUAUUUUGAACCGCAUGGUUCAAAAGUGAAAGACGGUCUUGCUGUCACUUAUAGAUGGAUCCGCGCUGCAUUAGCUAGUUGGUAAGGUAACGGCUUACCAAGGCAACGAUGCAUAGCCGACCUGAGAGGGUGAUCGGCCACACUGGAACUGAGACACGGUCCAGACUCCUACGGGAGGCAGCAGUAGGGAAUCUUCCGCAAUGGGCGAAAGCUUGACGGAGCAACGCCGCGUGAGUGAUGAAGGUCUUCGGAUCGUAAAACUCUGUUAUUAGGGAAGAACAUAUGUGUAAGUAACUGUGCACAUCUUGACGGUACCUAAUCAGAAAGCCACGGCUAACUACGU